rnacentral:rRNA from 1 species
CCUACGGGUGGCAGCAGUGAGGAAUAUUGCGCAAUGGGCGAAAGCCUGACGCAGCGACGCCGCGUGCGGGAUGAAGGUCUUCGGAUCGUAAACCUCUGUCAGCAGGGAAGAACGGUCACUGUGCUAAUCAGCAGUGAAUUGACGGUACCUGCACAGGAAGCGACGGCUAACUCUGUGCCAGCAGCCGCGGUAAUACGGAGGUUGCGAGCGUUAACCGGAAUUACUGGGCGUAAAGCGUUCGUAGGCGGUAUGUAAAGUCUAGGGUAAAACCCCGGGGCUAAACGGGGAAGCGCCUUUUAGACUGGCAAACUAGAGUGUGUUAGAGGAUAGUGGAAUUCCAGGUGUAGGGGUGAAAUGCGUAGAUAUAUGGAAGAACAUCAGUGGCGAAGGCGACUAUCUGGCACAAAACUGACGCUGAGGAGCGAAAGCGUGGGGAGCAAACAGGAUUAGAUACCCGAGUAGUC